CUCUGUACCCGUACUGAUAUGGGUACAGAUCCGAAGCCUCUCCAAGGAAAAUAUAGGUUCUCCAUAUCAUACUCCAACUCAAUACUUCGGCGUACAGCAGUACUGUUGUCAGCUUUGCCGUCUCAUCUGCAAUCAGUAGAAUAGAUCAAGCAUGAGAAUUUGAUAUUUUCAUGACCUUGACAGAAAAAACAAAAUUUUAGCGGA
rnacentral:ribozyme from 1 species